AUUGAACGCUGGCGGCAUGCCUUACACAUGCAAGUCGAACGGUAACGGGUCCUUCGGGAUGCCGACGAGUGGCGAACGGGUGAGUAAUAUAUCGGAACGUGCCCAGUAGUGGGGGAUAACCGCUCGAAAGAGCAGCUAAUACCGCAUACGACCUGAGGGUGAAAGGGGGGGAUCGCAAGACCUCGCGCUAUCUGAGCGGCGGAUAUCAGAUAAGCUAGUUGGUGGGGUAAAGGCCUACCAAGGCAACGAUCUGUAGUUGGUCUGAGAGGACGACCAGCCACACUGGGACUGAGACACGGCCCCGACUCCUACGGGAGGCAGCAGUGGGGAAUUUUGGACAAUGGGCGCAAGCCUGAUCCAGCAAUGCCGCGUGCAGGAAGAAGGCCUUCGGGUUGUAAACUGCUUUUGUCAGGGAAGAAAUCUUCUGGGCUAAUACCCCGGGAGGAUGACGGUACCUGAAGAAUAAGCACCGGCUAACUACGUGCCAGCCGCCGCCGUAA
rnacentral:rRNA from 1 species